rnacentral:rRNA from 1 species
GACGAACGCUGGCGGCGUGCCUAAUACAUGCAAGUAGAACGCACAGUUUAUACCGUAGCUUGCUACACCAUAGCCUGUGAGUUGCGAACGGGUGAGUAACGCGUAGGUAACCUGCCUGGUAGCGGGGGAUAACUAUUGGAAACGAUCGCUAAUACCGCAUAAUAUUAAUUAUUGCAUGAUAAUUAAUUGAAAGGUGCAAUUGCACCACUACCAGAUGGCCCUGCGUUGUAUUAGCUAGUAGGUGAGGUAACGGCUCACCUAGGCGACGAUACAUAGCCGACCUGAGAGGGUGAUCGGCCACACUGGGACUGAGACACGGCCCAGACUCCUUCGGGAGGCAGCAGUAGGGAAUCUUCGGCAAUGGACGAAAGUCUGACCGAGCAACGCCGCGUGAGUGAAGAAGGUUUUCGGAUCGUAAAGCUCUGUUGUAAGGGAAGAACGGGUGUGAGAGUGGAAAGUUCACACUGUGACGGUAUCUUACCAGAAAGGGACGGCUAACUACGUG